CGGACAGGACCUCCCACCAUCCUCCUCCCCUCAAUCAAAGAAAAAAACGCAGACCAUUCUCUUCGCAUGCUCCCUGAACGCGCCGCCGUCGCCGGUAGAUCCCAGCCGCCUCCCGCGAUCCCUCUAGCCGCUGACCACCGCCCGGACAUCGCCUCCACCCCCUCUAUCUAUUGCAUGGCUUGGAAGCCUCGAUUCUCCGCCACCCGACGAGCCCUGGACAAGCAGCGCCGCCGCGUGUCUGCUUCCAGCCCCGGCCGGUCGUCCUCUUCCUUCCCCAUCUCUGGCCGAUCGUCCUCGGGAGGAGCUUUCCGUGGCGCAAUAUUGGCGGCGGGGAGGCACGGGGGAAGACCUGUCGGUCGCCUACCCCGAGCUGCUGCUGCUGCCGGCGACCACCGCCCCGAGCUGCUGCUGCUGGCGUCCACGUCCCCCAGAUCCUCCGCCAACACGCACUCCGACCUGUCGCUGCCGGUAGUACAACUUUUGGAGGAAGUCAACGAGCAAUGUCUGUUUGUCAUGUACACAAACUUGCUAAUAUUAUGAAGUUAUGAGCCACAUUUGCGUCGAGGCUCCUGAGCCCAUCAUCGACGAGCCGCUGCUGCUAGACCUGACCAUGCUUACCUGUGCUGGAGCGCAUCAACACUGGCCAUGUACCGCAUUCACGGCGUUAGUUUACCAUGCUGCAACCGCAGCGGUCUGCAAUCUCUGGUUUUGUAAUAGUCACUCUAAAGCAGAGUUAUUCAUGCUCUUCUACAGGUUUCCAUGAUGGAGCAUGAUUUUUACUAGGAAUAAUACUCACUGGGUGUGUAACCUCUGGAGUUAUCCAUGUAGGCGACAAAGUUCAUGGUCUGCGCAACACAGAUAAAGGGAUUCAGAACAUUCAGGAUGGAAAGGUUGUCAAGCUCAUGAAAAAAAGAAAGGCACAAGCAUGACAGUAAUGGAAGCUGCUGGAGCUGGAGAUGUAAUUUCAAUGGCUAGAUUGUCUGGUCCAGCUAUCGGACACAUUGUGCCAAUUCUGGAGGUUUUGACUGCUCUACCAGCAGUUGAGUUGGGACCCUCCCACAAUAUCUAUGACUUUCGGUGUGAAUGAUACAAUACUGAGUGGCCAUGAUGGCGCUCAUCGGUGGAGUGGAUGGGUUGGACCGACCUAUGCAAGUUAUUGGAGCAGUACGCCCGUCAAGUGGCACCUUCUUUUGCUCCAGUCACCUCCGGCAUUGUCUAAGUCCUGUUCUGAUUCCUCUUGCGUGAAUUCUACUCUGAUGUUCAUCCCUAGCUGCAACUUUUAUUUCAGAAUAAAUAGACCCAUUUUGUGUUCUUAAUAGAUGAUGAGUGUAUUACAUUUUUUGAAGGCAAAUAUACAAGUUGUUUUUAGAUGAGUUGUCGGACUACCAUUUAAGGGCACAAGUUUGUCAAAUAUGAUGAUGCUUGUAUUCAGAUGAGUUAUUCUUUAUUUGUGGUCGAUUAUAUUUUUU